UACGGAGGGUGCAAGCGUUAUCCGGAUUCACUGGGUUUAAAGGGUGCGUAGGUGGGUCUGUAAGUCAGUGGUGAAAUCUCCAAGCUUAACUUGGAAACUGCCGUUGAUACUAUAGACCUUGAAUGCUGUGGAGGUGAGCGGAAUAUGUCAUGUAGCGGUGAAAUGACUUAGAUAUGACAUAGAACACCAAUUGCGAAGGCAGCUCACUACCCAGAUAUUGACACUGAGGCACGAAAGCGUGGGGGAUC
rnacentral:rRNA from 1 species